rnacentral:rRNA from 1 species
GUCGAGAAUUUUUCUCAAUGGGGGAAACCCUGAAGGAGCGACGCCGCGUGGAGGAUGAAGGUCUUCGGAUUGUAAACUCCUGUCAUGAGAGAGUAAGACAUUACGUUAACUGCGUGGAUGUUUGAUAGUACCUCAAGAGGAAGAGACGGCUAACUCUGUGCCAGCAGCCGCGGUAAUACAGAGGUCUCAAGCGUUGUUCGGAUUCAUUGGGCGUAAAGGGUGCGUAGGCGGCUUGGUAAGUCAGAUGUGAAAUCCUGGGGCUCAACCUCGGAACUGCAUUUGAUACUGCCAGGCUAGAGUACUGGAGAGGAGACUGGAAUUCACGGUGUAGCAGUGAAAUGCGUAGAUAUCGUGAGGAAGGCCAGUGGCGAAGGCGAGUCUCUGGACAGUAACUGACGCUGAGGCACGAAGGCUAGGGGAGCAAA